UCCAAUCUGACAGUACACACUUCUCUGCUGAAUUCCUCUGCCGCAGGACACCGAACACUGAGGAAAGACAACGAGUUUUUUAAAGAAUUUGCAUUCAUCAGACAAAGGAUAAGCAUCUCUCUGUAUUUUGACAUUCACAUAAAAGAAAACAAGGAGGCAGAAUAUUAAGAAUUAAAGGGCAAGUCAGCAGGUAGAUUAGGCUACUCUGAAAGAUUUAGAAAUCAAAAGGCCGCUGAAAUCACGACAAGAAUUUCAUAUGACAGCUUCUUGUAGAACAAGCUUCUUACAGAGAUUAACAUUCUAAGAGUGAAAUGAAUAAAAGAAGAGAACAUGAAAAUGCUGCCUGAUCAAUUUCCAGAUUCUGCAUUCCCUUGAGUUUUCUCCAGGAAUUCCUAUUCUUUUGUUAAACUAAAGUUUAAAAAUACUCCCAUUUUACUUGUUGAUAAAUAACCUGUGAAGCAUUAAUUGAAACAUUAUACCAAAGACACUGAAAGUUAGGUGGCAGAUGAAAAUAAUAAGUUGUUUUAUGAGAUAUUUCUCAAUUGCAGCAGUUUAAAAAUCUAAAUCUCAAUUAAUAUGAAUUUUUACCUUUUAUUUUCUCAGAUCAAGUCAUCGUUCUCUUCUUGGUUGCCUCUUUUGACUUGUUGUUAUAAACUUGGGUCAUUUUAAAUCUCAAAGCAUUUUACAAUACCAGUACUGCAGUCUUUUCCCACAGUCAACACUAAUGUCUAAUGCCACACACAGGCUUAGCAACCUACCAGUUUUAACUCCCCAAAUUCCUGGAGUUAAAACUUCUCUAAUUUACUGAGAUAAAAUUCAACAAAAUACUUAUUUUUUAAAGGAUAUUUUCUCUAACCGGACCUAACUCUUUAAAACAUGGCCAUCAAAUCCACUGACUGCUAAGAUUAAGACUAGGAAAAGGUUAGGGAGGUGGACCUGGAAUUUAGAAAAAGUAAUGUAGACAUUUUAGCUGAGAAGCUGCCAACACUAGCUGCUUGAUAUCCUUUUGUGAUGAGGUCAAUAUCCACUAAACUAGCUAAAAGUGGAAAGAAACUGCUUAGCCCAACAUCAUAUUCAUGGAUGAUUAAAUUAUUGAAGUUGAAAUAAUUCAUUCACAAAAUCUUCUUCACCUAGAAUAAAUUGGACUAGGGACAAAAAGAAUGUCUAUCCAUCUAUAAGAUCUUCAUUUCCACCUCCUUUAAGCAGAUCUCUCAAUUUAAAGAGCCAGCCACAGAGAAUACCAUCCAUAAUAAUAGUAUUGAUGGCAAUAGAAAUGGUAUGUACUCAAGCCAAAUUAAAGGAACAAAAACCUAAACCUGGUAAUAAAAAAAACCCUCUAAAAUUUAGUUAAAAUAUAUCUAAGUCCAUUUCUAAGUGCAUGUGUCUCAUUAUUCAUUAUUUUGCCAGAAUAUAAUUUGACUUGAGAAAGAAAAGGUAUACUUAAGCAUAAGCAAGACCUGUUGCUCUUAUAUUUAGUGGACUAAUUUUUGUUCAGUAAGAAUUCUUAGUAUACGGGACCUGACAAAAAAACACCACUGCACUCUCACUUUUUAAAGUAUAGAUGAAGACAGCUGUUUGUAGAUAUUUGGUGACCUAAUUUGUUUUAAUGAGAUUCAUUGUACAUUUUUAGAAAAUACCACCAAAAUGAAAAAUAAAAUCAAAAAUAAGGAAGAAUUUGGAGAAAUUCUACCAAGUCAUUUCCAAUACUUUCAUAAUUAUGGGAUUUGUUGUUUUUUAUACUUACAGAGUCAAAUUGACUCAACCAAUUUAGCCUGUUACUUAGAUUGUUAUAUAUUAGAAAAACAAAUGGUUGGAUUGCUAUAUUUUUCUUCUAAUCCUGCAACUAAUAGCUUCAUAGUUUGCCAAUAUAAUUCUAAAUAUUUUUCAAAUCUAUAAAUAACACUAUCAUCUUAAAAUCAUCACUUUUUUCUUUGUCAGUCACAAUUCCCAAAUGAUGCAACCCCUGCCUAAAAUCACUUAAAAGAAGUAAAGGUCAUCAGCAAAAAUGUC